CUAGCCAUGGGCAGGUUGAAGGUUGGGUAACACUAACUGGAGGACCGAACCGACUAAUGUUGAAAAAUUAGCGGAUGACUUGUGGCUGGGGGUGAAAGGCCAAUCAAACCGGGAGAUAGCUGGUUCUCCCCGAAAUCUAUUUAGGUAGAGCCUUGAGCGGACACCUUCGGGGGUAGAGCACUGUUUCGGCUAGGGGUCCAUCCCGGAUUACCAACCCGAUGCAAACUACGAAUACCGAAGAGUGAUACUCAGGAGACACACGGCGGGUGCUAACGUCCGUCGUGGAGAGGGAAACAACCCAGACCGCCAGCUAAGGUCCCAAAGUCUAUAUUAAGUGGGAAACGAAGUGGGAAGGCUUAGACAGCUAGGAUGUUGGCUUAGAAGCAGCCAUCAUUUAAAGAAAGCGUAAUAGCUCACUAGUCGAGUCGGCCUGCGCGGAAGAUGUAACGGGGCUCAAAUAUAGCACCGAAGCUGCGGCAUCAGUAGCAAUACUGUUGGGUAGGGGAGCGUUCUGUAAGCGGAUGAAGAUGGCUCGAGAGGGCUGUUGGACGUAUCAGAAGUGCGAAUGCUGACAUAAGUAACGAUAAAACGGGUGAAAAACCCGUUCGCCGGAAGACCAAGGGUUCCUGUCCAACGUUAAUCGGGGCAGGGUGAGUCGGCCCCUAAGGCGAGGCUGAAAAGCGUAGUCGAUGGGAAACGGGUUAAUAUUCCCGUACUUGGAUAAACUGCGAUGUGGGGACGGAGCAGGUUAGGUUAUCGCACUGUUGGAUAUGUGCGUUUAAGUUGGUAGGUGUGAAGUUUAGGCAAAUCCGGACUUCUUUAACACUGAGAGAUGAUGACGAGGCUCUACGGAGCUGAAGUAACCGAUACCACACUUCCAGGAAAAGCCACUAAGCUUCAGGUUUAUCUAAACCGUACUGAAAACCGACACAGGUGGUCAGGUAGAGAAUACUCAGGCGCUUGAGAGAACUCGGGUGAAGGAACUAGGCAAAAUAGCACCGUAACUUCGGGAGAAGGUGCGCCGGCGUAGAUUGUAGUCCCUUGCGGAUGAAGGUUGAACCGGUCGAAGAUACCAGCUGGCUGCAACUGUUUAUUAAAAACACAGCACUCUGCAAACACGAAAGUGGACGUAUAGGGUGUGAUGCCUGCCCGGUGCUGGAAGGUUAAUUGAUGGUGUAAUCGAAAGAGAAGCUCCUGAUCGAAGCCCCAGUAAACGGCGGCCGUAACUAUAACGGUCCUAAGGUAGCGAAAUUCCUUGUCGGGUAAGUUCCGACCUGCACGAAUGGCAUAAUGAUGGCCAGGCUGUCUCCACCCGAGACUCAGUGAAAUUGAAAUCGCCGUGAAGAUGCGGUGUACCCGCGGCUAGACGGAAAGACCCCGUGAACCUUUACUAUAGCUUGACACUGAACAUUGAAUUUUGAUGUGUAGGAUAGGUGGGAGACUUUGAAGAUGAUACGCCAGUAUUGUUGGAGUCGUCCUUGAAAUACCCCCCUUUAACGUUUGAUGUUCUAACGAAGAUUACGAAACGUGGUCUCGGACAGUGU
rnacentral:rRNA from 1 species